GAUGAACGCUGGCGGCGUGCCUAAUACAUGCAAGCCGAGCGAACAGACGAGGAGCUUGCUCCUCUGACGUUAGCGGCGGACGGGUGAGUAACACGUGGAUAACCUACCUAUAAGACUGGGAUAACUUCGGGAAACCGGAGCUAAUACCGGAUAAUAUAUUGAACCGCAUGGUUCAAUAGUGAAAGACGGUUUUGCUGUCACUUAUAGAUGGAUCCGCGCCGCAUUAGCUAGUUGGUAAGGUAACGGCUUACCAAGGCAACGAUGCGUAGCCGACCUGAGAGGGUGAUCGGCCACACUGGAACUGAGACACGGUCCAGACUCCUACGGGAGGCAGCAGUAGGGAAUCUUCCGCAAUGGGUGAAAGCUUGACGGAGCAACGCCGCGUGAGUGAUGAAGGUCUUCGGAUCGUAAAACUCUGUUAUUAGGGAAGAACAAAUGUGUAAGUAACUAUGCACGUCUUGACGGUACCUAAUCAGAAAGCCACGGCUAACUACGUG
rnacentral:rRNA from 1 species